CACUUGAUAUUAUUAAAAAGAUGAGACGAUUAUAAUCCUAUCUUACAAUUUUGUUUGAUAAUCUUCUAAAAUAUAAUUAAAAUUAUCUUAUUGAGUUCUGUCUGAAUACCUGUCGAGAACAGAUUCUCGGUGCAUCAUCGGAUACGUUUUUUUUCUUCCUCCUUUCUCUCUCCUAUUAUAUCAUCUGAUCUCCUCUCCCUCUUUCUUAAUACGUUGAACCAACGCUGACAUCUCCCAUGGAACGUAUUCAAGCUAUGCCUGUAUAGUAAUUACAAACUCUUUACCCUCACACUCUCUCCCCCUGGCUUAAUAAUUGUAGAGUAUGAUCAUUGAGUAGGCAAAUUAAAGGUAUGACAAGCGAAACCUUGUAGUGAUAAUUUGUGGGUUUUCGUUAGCUAUGUAGCUAUGUAGGUUUACUGUCGUCAAAGAUUGUUCUGUUUAUAAAGAUAAUACUGGGCAACUCUUUGAAGCUUCUGGGUUGCAGCCUUUUCCAUGUUAAGCUGCACGACUCUUUUUUCUGGGUUUUGUUUUUGUGUAAUUUUUAAUUGAAAAACCUUUUUUUUUUUUUUGUUUGGUGUCAGUUGUAAUGUUGGAUUAGAUGCCUGGCUGCAUAUUCUUUUAUGUUCUUUUUUUCCCAUGUAUUUUUUCCCUCAUGUUGUGGCUGUUGUGAAUUUGUUGUUUUAUGUUUCAUGCUGGAUGUCGUAGUUUACCUGACUUUGUGACUGAUGGUUGUCUUGCCAUUUAUACUCGACCAUUUCUUUUUAAUAGAACAUCAAAUCAGGGUCAGCAAACUAAAAGUUCGUUGGCAUGCUCUGUGAAGUUCCAUCAACUUCAUUACUGUCUGUGUUUUGGCAGACGGGUUGGGCAAAAUAGAGGGCCUUUUGGACCUAAUCAGGCUACAGGUUAUGUUCUUUUACGAAGCCUAAAUUUUAUCGUGUUGUUUCAAGACAGUGUCCAGUUCAUUUUUGUCACCCUUGCAGUCCAUUCCAUGUCAUAUUUUGGUGCUGUAGUAAAUCAGACACUUGUCAAUGUUGUUAUUUUUCUGGAAUCAUUAACCAAUCAAAUCUGCAGUGGAGCUUCUCUUCUAAAAUGAUUUUUGCACCUGAACAUGAAUAGUGUGCUGUAAAAUAAUGUCUCUGGUUUCUUCUUGCAUGCCCAUCUCAGCAGUCAUCUCUAUCUAUUUAUUCUUUGUGGGCUGAGUUGGGAUUUAAUUCUCUGUGUUUCUUUAAUUAUUCUGUAAAUAUUGAGGUAACCAAAAAAUUCUGGUCUCAUCCUGUCAUGAAUAGCAUGAUUCCAAUGGGGCAUUCCGAAAAUUAAACUCUGGAACCUCUUGCACCCAAAGCAAGAAGCAUACCACUAGACCAAAUGCCAUCUAUGAUCCAGGAAAGCAAAACCUAUAUGGCCCUUUAAUUCCUGAAACAGGAAAAUGGGCCGUUAUAUGCUGGGAUUGGUUGCUUUGCACCCGACCUGAGAAUUUACUCGAUUCACUUUGGAUCAUCUAACCACAUAUUUUCUUAUUCACUAACUGAAUCAGACACUUUCUUGAUUCUUAAACUAUGAUUUAUAUCAAUGAAGGUUCCUCAUAUGAUUUUCUUUUCCUUCUGCACAUUAACAGGGUCUACUGCAUUGAGUAGAAUGUUGCCAAAACAGAAAAACUUAUGUUAUACAAUGUGUUGAUGGAAAGCAUAUAGAUCGUUGACAUCAAACUAUAUAUCCUAACGUUUUAGUUAUUUGGCAAGACUGAGCUGACUGUAAAUUUGGCAGAAAGCCAAUCACUGAGAUUUCUUGCCCAACAGACUGAACCUUUUGAUGUGUAGAUAUACAUGCUGACUUUCAAAUUCUUUCCCGUGGUCUAGCAUGUCCUCUUGCAUUAAUUGUAGCUUUGGGUAUGUUUCUGUUCUCUUAUUUUGUCAUGUCAAUUGAGUUACUGAACGCAUUGCAUCAAAUUGAUGCUUACACCAUUUGGCAGGUUCAGGUAAAUGACUUCUCUCCAAUGUCUGAAGCUAGUGACAGUUGUGAACCUAGCUUGCAUUCCUUGAUUUCAGCGGAGUCUACUUAUUUAUUGAUCAUUUUAUUGGUAAUCAAUCUUACCAGAAAAAAAUAUGCAUCUAGAUUUCUUUAAAAUAUUAUGUUCUACUAUUAGAGUGGACUUUAGGUUCUUUGCUAAAAUAUCUGAACCUGCAUGGGACCAAAAACUAUAUGGACUUUUAACUUCCUGGGAACCAAAGAUUUACAUUAAUCAUUAAAUAUUGUUCUUUAGCUCAUCACGCAUGAUGCAGGCAUAACUCUAGCUUCUAAACCUUGCUGGGUUGUUUGUUGACAUGCAUUUUCGUACCAUCUUGAAGGGUUGAGACUGGUCGUUCUGCAUUGAUUGACGAGGCUACAGGAUGGAUAAAAAAAAUUGUCAUAUGGUUAGAAAUAAUAACUUGGGACCUCUCGCAUCCAAAGGGAGAAUCAUGCGGCUAGACCAAAUGCCCAGUUGGUGAUACUCAUCAUGCGAAAUUUCUGCUACUAAUGCAUUUGCAAGCUUGAAGGUUUAGAUCUCAGUUUGUCCUGGUGUCAGUCUUACUGCCAGAAUUAUAAGGGAAAAUGCACAAUCAUUUUUAUUGAGGAAUUGAACUUCCGCUUGAAAUGUGUUUUUGUCCAUUCUGGCAGGGUCAGAGGCUAAUGGUCUUGCAUUGAUUGCCGUGUCCGAAGGUGUGUUUCUAGACUUUCUAUCUUGAUUUCUUGACCAAAUGCUUAUUUGCUUACCUAUUCCACAAUCUUUUCCAAAAAAAAAAAUUAUGUACGGUCUUGGAACUUUCCUAUUGUAGUGCGGUUGACUUUGGGAAAGAUCACGGGACCAACGCCAAACUGCGUAAAAAAUGAUAAGCGUGUCGAUACUGAGUUCUUAAAACCAAAAAACAGGAUGACAGUGGGGCAUUCCGAGAAUCGAACUCGGGACCUCUCGCACCCAAAGCGAGAAUCAUACCACUAGACCAAAUGCCCAAUUUGGAAAGUAGUGGCUUAUACAAGGUUAGAGAAGACGAUGCAACAAAAAAAUUAGAGAAAUGGGUUGCGGUGUUUCAAUGUGCUUUGAUGAGGAGGCCAGUUUUGUCCAAGAAUUUAAAUGGUAAUAAGCAACCACCGUUACAUUAUUUUGAGUUACUCAUAACUUAUGAGUUAGUACAGUUGAUUAAAGUUUUUUUUUUUGUUUUUUUGUAGUUGAUUUUUUAAAAUUUUAUCAUUCAAUAUUAAAUUCAUUAGGGAUUAGACUUUAUAAUUUAUUUUGGUUUGUGUUCUAUAAGGUUAUCAUGAUCCUGGAAUAUGGUGGGCU